GACGAACGCUGGCGGCGUGCUUAACACAUGCAAGUCGAACGGAAAGGCCUGUCCUUCCUUGUGUUGGACGGGUACUCGAGUGGCGAACGGGUGAGUAACACGUGAGUGAUCUGCCCCCAACUUGGGUAUAAGCCUGGGAAACUGGGUCUAAUUCCCGAUAGGACUGCAGGGUGGUGCCUGUGGUGGAAAACGAUUUUCUAGUGGUUGGGGAUGAGCUCGCGGCCUAUCAGCUUGUUGGUGGGGUAAUGGCCUACCAAGGCGGCGACGGGUAGCCGGCCUGAGAGGGUGGACGGCAACAUUGGGACUGAGAUACGGCCCAGACUCCUACGGGAGGAAGCAGUGGGGAAUAUUGCACAAUGGGCGGAAGCCUGAUGCAGCGACGCCGCGUGGGGGAUGACGGCCUUCGGGUUGUAAACUCCUUUCGACCGCGAGGAAGCCGCCUGGUUGGAAGGGUGGUGACGGUAGUGGUAGAAGAAGCACCGGCUAACUACGUG
rnacentral:rRNA from 1 species